rnacentral:rRNA from 1 species
UACGAAGGGGGCUAGCGUUGCUCGGAAUCACUGGGCGUAAAGCGCACGUAGGCGGAUUGCUAAGUCAGGGGUGAAAUCCUGGAGCUCAACUCCAGAACUGCCUUUGAUACUGAGAAGCUUGAGUCCGGGAGAGGUGAGUGGAACUGCGAGUGUAGAGGUGAAAUUCGUAGAUAUUCGCAAGAACACCAGUGGCGAAGGCGGCGACCUGGGUAGAUACUGACGCUGAGGUGCGAAAGCGUGGGGAGCAAACAGG